CAAGCUAAAACUAAUAAUAGUAUUUUAUUUACACUAAAAAUUUUUAAUUGAAAUAAUCAAUUAUAGUUUGA
rnacentral:tRNA from 1 species